AUUGAACGCUGGCGGCAUGCCUUACACAUGCAAGUCGAACGGCAGCACGGACUUCGGUCUGGUGGCGAGUGGCGAACGGGUGAGUAAUGUAUCGGAACGUACCUUUCAGUGGGGGAUAACGUAGCGAAAGUUACGCUAAUACCGCAUAUUCUGUGAGCAGGAAAGCAGGGGAUCGCAAGACCUUGCGCUGAUUGAGCGGCCGAUAUCAGAUUAGCUAGUUGGUGAGGUAAAGGCUCACCAAGGCGACGAUCUGUAGCGGGUCUGAGAGGAUGAUCCGCCACACUGGAACUGAGACACGGUCCAGACUCCUACGGGAGGCAGCAGUGGGGAAUUUUGGACAAUGGGGGCAACCCUGAUCCAGCCAUGCCGCGUGAGUGAAGAAGGCCUC
rnacentral:rRNA from 1 species